rnacentral:rRNA from 1 species
UACGUAGGGCGCAAGCGUUGUCCGGAAUUAUUGGGCGUAAAGAGCUCGUAGGCGGUCUGUUACGUCCGCUGUGAAAACCCAGGGCUUAACCCUGGGCUUGCAGUGGAUACGGGCAGACUAGAGGCAGGUAGGGGAGAAUGGAAUUCCCGGCGUAGCGGUGAAAUGCGCAGAUAUCGGGAGGAACACCGGUGGCGAAGGCGGCGACCUGGUCCGAUACUGACGCUGAGGCGCGAAAGCGUGGGGAGCAAACAGG